rnacentral:rRNA from 1 species
UACGUAGGGAGCGAGCGUUGUCCGGAAUUACUGGGCGUAAAGAGCUCGUAGGCGGGGGCGCGCGUCUCGGAUGAAACCUCAUGGCUCAACCAUGGGCCUAUCUGAGAUACGGCGCCUCUUGAGGACAGGAGAGGAAAGUGGAAUUCCCGGUGUAGCGGUGAAAUGCGUAGAUAUCGGGAGGAACAUCAGUGGCGAAGGCGACCGCCUGGCCCAACACUGACGCUGAGGUGCGAAAGCGUGGGUAGCAAACAGGA